rnacentral:rRNA from 1 species
AGUAAACGCUGGCGGUAGGCCUAACACAUGCAAGUCGAACGGCAGCACAGUAAGAGCUUGCUCUUACGGGUGGCGAGUGGCGGACGGGUGAGGAAUACAUCGGAAUCUACUUUUUCGUGGGGGAUAACGUAGGGAAACUUACGCUAGUACCGCAUACGACCUACGGGUGAAAGCAGGGGAUCUUCGGACCUUGCGCGAUUGAAUGAGCCGAUGUCGGAUUAGCUAGUUGGCGGGGUAAAGGCCCACCAAGGCGACGAUCCGUAGCUGGUCUGAGAGGAUGAUCAGCCACACUGGAACUGAGACACGGUCCAGACUCCUACGGGAGGCAGCAGUGGGGAAUAUUGGACAAUGGGCGCAAGCCUGAUCCAGCCAUACCGCGUGGGUGAAGAAGGCCUUCGGGUUGUAAAGCCCUUUUGUUGGGAAAGAAAAGCAGCAGGUUAAUACCCCGCUGUUCUGACGGUACCCAAAGAAUAAGCACCGGCUAACUUCGUG